rfam:Ovis aries breed Texel chromosome 3, whole genome shotgun sequence.
UUCCUGGCAGUCCAGUGGUUAGGACUUGGCACUUUCACUGCCAAGGGCUGGGUUCAAUCCCUGGUCAGAGAA